rnacentral:rRNA from 1 species
GACGAACGAUGGCGGCGUGCCUAAUACAUGCAAGUCGAGCGAGCGGAACUAACAGAUUUACUUCGGUAAUGACGUUAGGAAAGCGAGCGGCGGAUGGGUGAGUAACACGUGGGGAACCUGCCCCAUAGUCUGGGAUACCACUUGGAAACAGGUGCUAAUACCGGAUAAGAAAGCAGAUCGCAUGAUCAGCUUUUAAAAGGCGGCGUAAGCUGUCGCUAUGGGAUGGCCCCGCGGUGCAUUAGCUAGUUGGUAAGGUAAAGGCUUACCAAGGCGAUGAUGCAUAGCCGAGUUGAGAGACUGAUCGGCCACAUUGGGACUGAGACACGGCCCAAACUCCUACGGGAGGCAGCAGUAGGGAAUCUUCCACAAUGGACGCAAGUCUGAUGGAGCAACGCCGCGUGAGUGAAGAAGGUUUUCGGAUCGUAAAGCUCUGUUGUUGGUGAAGAAGGAUAGAGGUAGUAACUGGCCUUUAUUUGACGGUAAUCAACCAGAAAGUCACGGCUAACUACGUGCCAGCAGCCGCGGUAAUACGUAGGUGGCAAGCGUUGACCGGAUUUAUUGGGCGUAAAGCGAGCGCAGGCGGAAGAAUAAGUCUGAUGUGAAAGCCCUCGGCUUAACCGAGGAACUGCAUCGGAAACUGUUUUUCUUGAGUGCAGAAGAGGAGAGUGGAACUCCAUGUGUAGCGGUGGAAUGCGUAGAUAUAUGGAAGAACACCAGUGGCGAAGGCGGCUCUCUGGUCUGCAACUGACGCUGAGGCUCGAAAGCAUGGGUAGCGAACAGGAUUAGAUACCCUGGUAGUCCAUGCCGUAAACGAUGAGUGCCAAGUGUUGGGAGGUUUCCGCCUCUCAGUGCUGCAGCUAACGCAUUAAGCACUCCGCCUGGGGAGUACGACCGCAAGGUUGAAACUCAAAGGAAUUGACGGGGGCCCGCACAAGCGGUGGAGCAUGUGGUUUAAUUCGAAGCAACGCGAAGAACCUUACCAGGUCUUGACAUCUAGUGCCAUUUGUAGAGAUACAAAGUUCCCUUCGGGGACGCUAAGACAGGUGGUGCAUGGCUGUCGUCAGCUUGUGUCGUGAGAUGUUGGGUUAAGUCCCGCAACGAGCGCAACCCUUGUUAUUAGUUGCCAGCAUUAAGUUGGGCACUCUAAUGAGACGGCCGGUGACAAACCGGAGGAAGGUGGGGAUGACGUCAAGUCAUCAUGCCCCUUAUGACCUGGGCUACACACGUGCUACAAUGGGCAGUACAACGAGAAGCGAGCCUGCGAAGGUAAGCGAAUCUCUGAAAGCUGUUUUCAGUUCGGACUGCAGUCUGCAACUCGACUGCACGAAGCUGGAAUCGCUAGUAAUCGCGGAUCAGCACGCCGCGGUGAAUACGUUCCCGGGCCU